GUUAAUGGCGGGCGCUGGCGGGGAGCUUCUUCGUGGGCUGCCGGUUCCAAGAUGCCGGUCUGUCAACCCUGCCAGGCGUCUGCCGCCUCC
rnacentral:antisense_RNA from 1 species